CCCCUUUUAAAAGCACUCAGCGCGCCUUGACUAAUGACCCACCGAGCCGUCACUAAAGGGCGGACUGAAAACGCUGCUUUUGGACGAAGCGGCAGCGUGUCAUGUUCCGCUUCCGUUGGUGUCACAAGC
ensembl:snoRNA